AUGGGGGUCCCCAAAAUACCCGGGGGGGGGCACAGGGGGGACCCCAAAAUACCCGGGGGGAAAAAGGGGGGGGUCAGGGGGGGACCCCAAAAUUCACAGGAGGGACCCCAAAACACACGGGGGGGGUCAGGGGGGGUCAGGGGGGGUCAGGGGGGACCCCAAAAUACCCGGGAGGGUCCCCAAAAACCAGAGAGGGGGGCACGGGGGGAUCAGAGGAAGGGUCUGGGGGUCCCCAAAACCCUCGGGAGGGACCCCAGACCCAUGGAGGGAACCCCAAAACCCACGGGGGGGGUCAGGGGGUCCCCAAAAACCACAGGGGGUGGUCAUGGGAGUCCCCAAAAUACCCGGGGAGGGACCCCAGACCCAUGGAGGGAACCCCAAAACCCCCAGGAGGGACCCCAAAAUCCCGGGGGGGGGGGGCACAGGGGGGUCAGGGAGACCCUAAAAUACCGGGGAGGGGGUACAGGGGGGUCAGGGGGGGUCAGGGGGGUCCCCAAAAUACCCGAGAGGGACCCCAGACCCACGGGAGGGGUCCCCAAAAUCCACAGAGGGGGCAAAGGGGGAAUCAGAGGGACCCCAAAGUCCACAUGGGGGUCCCCAAAAUACCCGGGGGGGGCACGGGGGGACCCCAAAAUACCCGGGGGGGACCCCAGACCCAUAGAGGGGGCACGGGGGGGUCAGGGGAGGGGUCUGGGGGGGGUCACAGGGACCCCAAAAUACCCGGGGGGGAAAAGGGGGGGGUCCGAGGGACCCCAAAAUCCACAUGGGGGACCCCAAAACACACGGGGAGGGACCCCAGACCCAUGGGGGGGGGUCCCCAAAACCCACAGGAGGGGGCACUGGGGGGUCAGGGGGGGCCCCAAAAUCCACAUGGGGGUCCCCAAAACACAAGGUGGGGGGGUCAGGGGGACCCCAAAAUACCCGGGGGGGACCCCAGACCCAUGGAAGGAACCCCAAAACCCCCAGGAGGGACCCCAAAAUACCCGGGGGGGGGGGCAUGUGGGGGGGUCAGGGGGUCCCCAAAACCCACAGGAGGGGGCACAGGGGGGUCAGGGGGGGGUCCCAAAAUACGCGGGGGGGGGUCAGGGGGACCCCAAAAUACCCGGGGGGAAAAAGGGGGGGUCACGGGGACCCCAAAAUUCCCGGGGGGAAAAAGGGGGGGGGUCAGGGGGGGACCCCAAAAUUCACAGGAGGGACCCCAAAACACACGGGGGGGGUCAGGGGGGGUCAGGGGAGGUCAGAGGGGUCCCCAAAAUACCCGGGGGGGGCACGGGGGGUCCCCAAAAUACCCGGGGGGGGGUUAGAGGGACCCCAAAAUACCCGGGGGGGGGCACGGGGGGGUCAGAGGGGGUCCCCAAAACCCGCCGGGGGGGGCACGGGGGGGGUCCCCAAAACGCGUGGGGGGGGCACAGGGGGGUCAGGGGGGACCCCAAAAUACCCGGGAGGGUCCCCAAAAACCAGAGAGGGGGGCACGGGGGGGUCAGAGGAAGGGUCUGGGGGUCCCCAAAACCCUCGGGAGGGACCCCAGACCCAUGGGGGGAGUACGGGGGGGGGCACAGGGGGUCCCCAAAACCCGCGGGGGGGGGUCAGGGAGUCCCCAAAACCUACGGGAGAGGACCCCAGACCCAUGGGGGGGACCCCAAAACCCACAGAGGGGGUCAGGGGGGUCCCCAAACCCUCAGAGAAGACCCCAGACCCACGGUGGGGGGGGGGCUGGGUCACCUCUCAUAG
rnacentral:lncRNA from 1 species